UACGAAGGGGGCUAGCGUUGCUCGGAAUCACUGGGCGUAAAGGGUGCGUAGGCGGGUUCUUAAGUCCGAGGUGAAAUCCUGGAGCUCAACUCCAGAACUGCCUUUGAUACUGAGAGUCUUGAGUAUGACAGAGGUGAGUGGAACUGCGAGUGUAGAGGUGAAAUUCGUAGAUAUUCGCAAGAACACCAGUGGCGAAGGCGGCUCACUGGGUCAUUACUGACGCUGAGGCACGAAAGCGUGGGGAGCAAACAGG
rnacentral:rRNA from 1 species